ensembl:lncRNA
CUCGAGGGAGGUGCUUCUCCACUCGCCACUGAGGAGACCGCCCGAGGACUGGCCGGCGGCCGCAGCGCUUCCAGGAUUUCCGGUGCCUUUUUCUCAGGUUUAAGGCGAACUGGACUGAGUGCCCUCGAAAUACGCAUGCCCUUUCCUGUUUGCUACUUAAUACGGCUUCCUGAGCGAGUAUUAAUGUCUCUGCUUGCCAACAAAGAUCCGUCGACUCAAAGCUAUGGGUUUUCCAGUAUUCAUGUAUGGCUGUGAGAGUUGGACUCUAAAGAAAGCUGAGUGCGGAAGAAUCGAUGCGUGUGAACUGUGGUGUUGGAGAAGACUCUUAAGAGUCCCAUGAACUGCAAGGAGAUCAAACCAGUCCAUUCUGAAGGAAAUCAGUCCUGAAUAUUCAUUGGAAGGACUGAUUCUGAAGCUGAAACUCCAAUAUUUUGGCCACCUGAUAUGAAGAACUGGCCCAUUUGAAAAGAUCCUGAUGCUGGGAAAGAUUGAAGGCAGGAGGAGAAGGGGAUGACAGGGUGAGAUGGUUGGAUGGCAUCACUGACUCAAUGGACAUGAGUUUGAGUAAGGUCUGGGAGUUGGUGAUGCACAGGGAGGCUUGGCGUGCUGCAGUCCAUGGGGUCGCAAAGAGUUGGACACAACUGAGCGACUGUAAUGAACUGAUUCAUCCUCCGGCACGAGCCCUAGGCAACUGCAAUUGUCAUUAUAACCAUGCCCAUCAAAAGAUGAAUGGAUAAAGAUGUGGUACAUAUACCCAACGUAAUAUUCAGUUCAGUCACUCAGUCGUGUCCGACUCUUUGCGAACCCAUGAAUCGCAGCACACCAGGCCUCCCUGUCCAUCACCAACUCCUGGAGUUCACUCAAACUCAUGUCCAUCAAGUCGGUGAUGCUAUCCAGCCAUCUCAUCCUCUGUCGUCCCCUUCUCCUCCUGCCCCCAAUCCCUCCCAGCAUCAGAGACUUUACUCAGCCAUAAAAGGGAACAUAUUUGAGUCCGUUCUAAUGAGGUGGAUGAACCUAGAACCUAUUAAACAGAGUGAAGUAAGUCAGAAAGAGAAAGAUAAAUAUUAUAUUCUGGAACUAACACCCAGAAAAGAUGUCCUUUUCAUUAUAGGGGACUGGACUGCAAAGUAGGAAGUCAAGAAACACCUACAGUAACAGGAAAAUUUGGCCUUGGAAUGCAGAAUGAAGCAGGGCAAAGGCUAACAGAGUUUUGUGAAGACAACACACUGGUCAUAGCAAACACCCUCUUCCAGCAAUACAAGAGAAGACUCUACACAUGGACAUCACCAGAUGGUCAACACCAAAAUCAGAUUGGUUAUAUUCUUUGCAGCCAAAGAUGGAGAAGCUCUAUACAGUCAGCAAAAAUGAGACUAGGAGCUGACUGUGGCUCAGAUCAUGAACUCCUUAUUGCCAAAUUCAGAAUUAAAUUGAGGAAAGUAGGGAAAACCACUAGACCAUUCAGGUAUGACCUAAAUCACAUCCCUUACAAUUAUACAGUGGAAGUGAGAAAUAAAUUUAAGGGACUGGAUCUAAUAGAGUGCCUGAUGAACUAUGGAAUGAGGUUCGUGACAUUGUACUGGAGACAGGGAUUAAGACCAUCCCCAUGGAAAAGAAAUGCAAAAAGGCAAAAUGGCUGUCUGGGGAGGCCUUACAAAUAGCUGUGAAAACAAGAGACAUGAAAGGCAAAGGAGAAAAGGAAAGAUAUACCCAUGUGAAUGCAGAGUUCCAAAGAAUAGCAAGAAGAGAUAAGAAAGCCUUCCUCAGUGAUCAGUGCAAAGAAAUAGAGGAAAACAGUAGAAUGGGAAAGACCAGAGAUCUCUUCAAGAAAAUUAGAGAUACCAAGGCAAUAUUUCAUGCAAAGAUGGGCUCGAUAAAGGACAGAAAUUUUAUGGACCUAACAGAAGCAGAAGAUAUUAAGAAGAGGUGGCAAGAAUACACAGAAGAACUAUACAAAAAAGAUCUUCACGACCCAGAUAAUCAUCAUAGUAUGAUCACUCACUUAGAGCUAGGCAUCCUGGAAUGCAAAGUCAAGUGGGCCUUAGGAAGGAUCACUACGAACAAAGCUAGUGGAGGUGAUAGAAUUCCAGUUGAGCUGUUUCAAAUCCUAGAAGGUAAGGCUGUGAAAGUGCUGCACUCAAUAUGUCAGCAAAUUUGGAAAACUCAGCAGUGGCCACAGGACUAGAAAAGGUCAGUUUUCAUUCCAAUCCCAAAGAAAGGCAAUGCCAAAGAAUGCUCAAACUACUGCACAAUUGCACUCAUCUCACAGGCUAGUAAAGUAAUGCUCAAAAUUCCUCAAGCCAGGCUUCAACAGUACGUAAAUCAUGAACUUCCAGAUGUUCAAGCUGGUUUAAGAAAAGGCAGAGGAACCAGAGAUCAAAUUGCCAACAUCCAUUGGAUCAUGGAAAAAGCAAGAGAGUUCCAGAAAAACAUGUAUUUCUGCUUUAUUGACUAUGCCAAAGCCUUUGACAGUAUGGAUCACCACAUAGUAUGGAAAAUACUUCAAGAGAUGAGAAUACCAGACCACCUGACCCACCUCUUGAGAAAUCUGUAUGCAGGUCAGGAAGCAACAGUUAGAACUGGACAUGGAACAGCAGACUGGUUCUAAUAGGAAAAGGAGUACAUCAAGACUGUAUAUUGUGACCCUGCUUAUUUAACUUAUAUACAGAGUACAUCAUGAGAAACGCUGGGCUGGAUGAAGCACAAGUUGGAAUCAAGAAUGCCGGGACAAAUAUCAAUAACCUCAGAUAUGCAGAUGAUACCACCCUUAUGGCAGAAAGUGAAGAAAAACUAAAAAGCCUCUGAUGAAAGUGAAAAGGAGAGUGAAAAAGUUGGUUUAAAGCUCAGCAUUCAGAAAACGAAGAUCAUGACAUCUGCUCCCAUUACUUCAUGGCAAAUAGAUAGGGAAACAGUGGCAAACUUUAUUUUGGGGGGCUCCAAAAUCACUGUAGAUGGUGACUGCAACCAUGAUAUUAAAAGACCCUUGCUCCUUGGAAGAAAAGCUAUGACCACCCUAGACAGCAUAUUAAAAAGCAGAGACAAUACUUUGCCAACAAAGGUCUGUCUAGUCAAGGCUAUGAUUUUUCCAGUAGUCAUGUAUGGAUGUGAGAGUUGGACCAUAAAGAAAGCUGAGCGCCAAAGAAUUGAUGGUUUUGAACUGUGGUGUUGGAGAAAACUCUUGAAGGUCCCUUGGACUGCAGCCAGUCCAUCCUUAAGGAGAUCAGUCCUGAAUAUUCAUUGGAAGGACUGGUGUUGAAUUGAAACUCCAAUACUUUGGCCACCUGAUGAGAAGAAGUGACUCAUUUGAAAAGACCCUGAUGCUGGAAAAGAUUGAAGGCGGGAGAAGGGGACGACAGAGGAUGAGAUGGUUGGAUGGCAUCACCAACUCGAUGGACAUGAGUUUGAGUAAACUCCGAGUUGUUGAUGGACAGGGUGGUCUGGCAUGCAGUGUGUGUGGUCGCAAAGAGUCGGACAUGACUGAACGACUGAACUCAACUGAAUGCAUAUAUAUGGAAUCUAGAAAAAUGGUACCCAAGAAUUUAUUUGCAGGGCAGCAAUGGAGGAAACAGACACAGAGAACAGACUUUCGGACAUGGGGAGAGGGGAGGAGAGGGUGAGAUGUAUGGAAAGAAUAACAUGGAAACUUACAUUACUGUAUGUAAAGUAGAUAGCCAACGGAAAUUUGCUGUAUGGCUCGGGAAACUCAAACAGCAGCUCUGCAUCAACCUAG